CGCAGGCAGUGCUCCCUCCUCCCGGCUUUUCCAGUCCGGAGUGGUGCAACUUCCUCCUCCGCGUGAGCAUGCAGACGUGCAGCGAGAGCGACCGUCCGGCUUUCGCUCUCGCUCGCCGGCAUGCCUUUGCGUGAAGACCGCUCGUGAUAAGAGAAUUUAUGUAUCGUUGUUGGCGGCGCACCAGAAACACGCCCGUGGUUGACCCACAGAAGCAGCCUCCCACGGGCUGCCUUCUGGGUGAUGAAAGCUACAUCCCACCCCCCACCCCCC
rnacentral:lncRNA from 1 species